GACGAACGCUGGCGGCGUGCUUAACACAUGCAAGUCGAACGGUGAAAGCGGAGCUUGCUCCGCUGGAUCAGUGGCGAACGGGUGAGUAACACGUGGGCAACCUGCCCCUCACCUCGGGAUAACUCCUGUAAGCCGGGGCUAAUACCGGAUAUGACCUCCUUGGGCAUCCUUGGAGGUGGAACGAUUCUCGGUGAGGGAUGGGCCCGCGGCCUAUCCGCUUGGUGGUGAGGUAAUGGCUCACCAAGGCGACGACGGUUAGCCGGCCUGAGAGGGCGACCGGCCACACUGGGACUGGGACACGGCCCAGACUCCUACGGGAGGCAGCAGUGGGGAAUAUUGCGCAAUGGGCGAAAGCCUGACGCAGCAACGCCGCGUGCGGGAUGACGGCCUUCGGUUUGUAAACCGCUUUCAGCAGGGAAGAAGCCGCAAGGUGACGGUACCUGCAGAAGAAGUACCGGCUAACUACGUGCCAGCAGCCGCCGUAA
rnacentral:rRNA from 1 species